UACGUAGGGGGCAAGCGUUGUCCGGAAUUAUUGGGCGUAAAGAGCGUGUAGGCGGUCCGGUCAGUCGGCUGUGAAAGUCCAGGGCUCAACCCUGGGAUGCCGUUCGAUACUGCCGGACUAGAGUUCGGAAGAGGCGAGUGGAAUUCCCGGUGUAGCGGUGAAAUGCGCAGAUAUCGGGAGGAACACCGAUGGCGAAGGCAGCUCGCUGGGACGUUACUGACGCUGAGACGCGAAAGCGUGGGGAGCGAACAGG
rnacentral:rRNA from 1 species